ensembl:misc_RNA Metazoa_SRP Metazoan signal recognition particle RNA
GCCAGGCAGGGUGGCACGUGCCUAUAGUUCCAGCUACUGGGGAGGCUGAAGUGGGAGGAGUGCUCGAGCCCAGGAGUUCUGGACUACAGUGUGCUAUGCCAAUCAGGUGUCCACACUAAGUUCCCCAUCAAUAUGGUGACCUCCUAGGAGUUGGAGAUCACCAGGUUGCCUAAGGUGGGAGGGACCAACCCAGGUUGGAAAUGGCACAGGUUGAAACUCCCAUGCUGAUCAGUAGUGGGAUCAUGUCUGUGAAUAGCCACUGUACUCCAGCCUGGGCAACACAGCAAGAUCCAGUCUCUU